rnacentral:rRNA from 1 species
ACGGGGCGCAGCAGGCGCGAAAACUUUACAAUGCAGGAAACCGUGAUAAGGGGACACCGAGUGCCAGCAUCCUAUGCUGGCUGUCCAGGUGUGUAAAAUACACCUGUUAGCAAGGGCCGGGCAAGACCGGUGCCAGCCGCCGCGGUAACACCGGCGGCCCGAGUGGU